rnacentral:rRNA from 1 species
UGGGGAAUUUUGCACAAUGGGGGAAACCCUGAUGCAGCGACGCCGCGUGAUUUAGAAGGCCUUCGGGUUGUAAAAAUCUUUUCUAUGGGAAGAAAAUGACAGUACCAUAGGAAUAAGGACCGGCUAAUUACGUGCCAGCAGCCGCGGUAAUACGUAAGGUCCGAGCGUUGUCCGGAAUCAUUGGGCGUAAAGGGUACGUAGGCGGGCAAGCAAGUUAGAAGUGAAAUCCUGUAGCUCAACUACAGUAAGCUUUUAAAACUGCUCAUCUUGAGAUAUGGAAGGGAAAGUGGAAUUCCUAGUGUAGCGGUGAAAUGCGCAGAUAUUAGGAGGAAUACCGGUGGCGAAGGCGACUUUCUGGCCAUAAUCUGACGCUGAGGUACGAAAGCGUGGGUAGCAAACAGG